rnacentral:misc_RNA from 1 species
UCCGGUUUGUCACCGGCAGUCUCGCAUGAGUCCCCAACUUAAUGCUGGCAACAUGCGACGGGGGUUGCGCUCGUUGCGGGACUUAACCCAACAUCUCACGGCACGAGCUGACGACAGCCAUGCACCACCUGUGCAGGCUCCGAAGAGCACCCGCUUUCACGGGUUUCACCCUGCAUGUCAAGCCCAGGUAAGGUUCUUCGCGUUGCGUCGAAUUAAACCACAUGCUCCACCGCUUGUGUGAGCCCCCGUCAAUUCCUUUGAGUUUUAAUCUUGCGACCGUACUCCCCAGGCGGAUGACUUCACGCGUUAGCUGCGUUACUAAGGGAUUUAACUCCCCCAACAACUAGUCAUCAUCGUUUAGGGCGUGGACUAC